UACGUAGGGGGCUAGCGUUGUCCGGAAUCAUUGGGCGUAAAGCGCGUGUAGGCGGUCCGGUAAGUCCGCUGUGAAAGUCGGGGGCUCAACCUGGGAAUGGCAUUGGAAACUGGCGGGCUUGAGUGUGGCAGAGGGGGUUGGAAUUCCGCGUGUAGCAGUGAAAUGCGUAGAGAUGCGGAGGAACACCGAUGGCGAAGGCAGCCCCCUGGGCUGACACUGACGCUCAGGCACGAAAGCGUGGGGAGCAAACAGG
rnacentral:rRNA from 1 species